rnacentral:tRNA from 1 species
GGUUCCAUAGAGUAGUGGUUAGCACAUCUGCUUUACACGCAGAAGGUCCUAGGUUCCAACCCCAGUGGAGCCA